rnacentral:rRNA from 1 species
GAUGAACGCUGGCGGCGUGCCUAAUACAUGCAAGUCGAGCGAAUGGAUUAAGAGCUUGCUCUUAUGAAGUUAGCGGCGGACGGGUGAGUAACACGUGGGUAACCUGCCCAUAAGCCUGGGAUAACUCCGGGAAACCGGGGCUAAUACCGGAUAACAUUUUGAACCGCAUGGUUCGAAAUUGAAAGGCGGCUUCGGCUGUCACUUAUGGAUGGACCCGCGUCGCAUUAGCUAGUUGGUGAGGUAACGGCUCACCAAGGCAACGAUGCGUAGCCGACCGGGGAGGGUGAUCGGACACGCUGGGAAUGAGACACGGCCCAGGCUCCUACGGGAGGCAGCAGUAGGGAAUCGUCCGCAAUGGACGAAAGUCUGACGGAGCAACGCCGCGUGAGUGAUGAAGGCUUUCGGGUCGUAAAACUCUGUUGUUAGGGAAGAACAAGUGCUAGUUGAAUAAGCUGGCACCUUGAUGGUACCUAACCAGAAAGCCACGGCUAACUACGUGCCAGCCGCCGCAGUAA